GAUGAACGCUGGCGGCGUGCCUAACACAUGCAAGUCGAGCGAACAGACGAGGAGUUUGCGCGUCUGACGUUGGCGGCGGACGGGAGAGUCACAUGUGUAUAACCUACCUAUAAGACUGGGAUAAUUACGGGAAAUCGGAUCUAAUACCGGAUAAUAUAUUGAACCGCGUUGGGCAAUAGUUAGAUUCGGUUUUUGGGUCAGUAAUAGCUGAAUCCGCGCUGGAUUAGUUUGUGGGUAAGGAAACGGGUUACCAAGGCUACGAUGCGUAGACGACCUGAGCGGGUGGUUGCACACCCGGGCUGUGAGACUCGGUCCCGACACCUACGCGAGGCCGCAGUAGGGAAUCUUACGCAAUGGGCGAGAGCUUGACGGAGCAAAACGGCGUGAGUGAUGAAGGUGUUCGGAUGGUAAAGCUCUGUUAUUCGGGGAGAACAAAUGUGUAAGUACCUGUGGAGGUAUUGACGGUACCUAGUCAAAAAGCCCCGGCUAACUACGUG
rnacentral:rRNA from 1 species